rnacentral:lncRNA from 1 species
CAAAACCAGUCCAAACCCCGGCUCCCCCGGGUGGCGCUGUGUGACACAUUCCUACCCUCUCUCUACCUCGGCUGUCUCAUCUGCCAAGUGGAAGAAUAAGGAACCCUGAAAUCCUACGGAGGACUGCCGUGAGCACUGGCGGUCACAGCGGAUCAAGACUGGGGCACGCAGGACCCGGUUCCUUCCGCAUCUUCUCACGAAUCCUUUGGCCCCAGACAGGAGGAGCCCAGGCAGCCUAAGAGUCUGCACUGUUAGUUGAAUGGCGCUUCCAGGUCUGCUGGCCCGUGAUGCUCAGGGAGUCCGAUGGCCACCUUGGGUCCCCUUUCAUUGUUCCUUCCCAGAAAGGAAGGUGGUUGCUCUCGUCUGAAUGGGUCCCCCAAAAAGGCACGUGUUGGAAACUUCACCCCAGUGCAGCAGUGUUGGGGGACGGGGCCAGAUGACGUCACAGGGGCAGGAGUGGAGGGAUUCACAGGGGCAGGACUGGGUGCACGUGGUUAUGGAGGGAGUGGGCUGCCAUCUCCACAGUGGGUUCAGCUCCCUCUCUGGCCUUCCCUCCCUGUCCUGUUCCCCUUCCUCUCUCCAUCUCUCGCUCUUCAGCUUCCUGCCAGGGGACGAUGCAGAACAAAUCCCUCACCACAGGCCAAGUGUGGCCUUCUUGCUCUUGGACUUCCCGGGCUCCAGAUGAUAAG